CGGAUCUCGAAAGCCUGUCCCAGUUCGGACUGGAGUCUGNAACCCGACUCCACGAAGUUGGAUUCGCUAGUAAUCGCGCAUCAGCCAUGGCGCGGUGAAUACGUUCCCGGGCCUUGUACACACCGCCCGUCAAGCCAUGGGAGCCGGGGGCGCCUGAAGUCCGGGACCGNGAGGACCGGCCUAGGGCGAAACUGGUAACUGGGGCUAAGUCGUAACAAGGUAAC
rnacentral:rRNA from 1 species